rnacentral:lncRNA from 1 species
UUAGGAUGAUAAAAUGAGAUUCGAAAACUCGAUUAACUCGAAAAUUUUCGAUUCGAUUCGAUCGAAUGCUCACCCCUAGCUGUAAUCCUCCUCAACCCCGAGUUCAUCCCCCACGGCCUGCACCGGUUCCUUCUCAUCAUCUGCAAUAUUGAUAUUUGCUAAUUCUUCCUCCAUUGAGAUGUCAUCGCAAAAAAAACAACACUUUCUUCUUCAACAAACAUUACCGCCGCCAAGCAAUUCACAGAAAAAAAAUAAAAAAGAUUGAAAGCCAAAACGUGCUAGGUUAGCAGACCAAAGACGUGCUAG